rnacentral:rRNA from 1 species
GCAGGCUUAACACAUGCAAGUCGAGCGCCCCGCAAGGGGAGCGGCACGGGUGAGUAACACGUGGGAACGUACCCUCCGGUUCGGAAUAACUCAGGGAAACUUGAUAAUACCGAAUACGGUCGAGAGGCGAAAGAUUUAUCGCCGGAGGAUCGGCCCGCGUCCUUAGCUAGUUGGUGUGGUAACGGCGCACCAAGGCGACGAUCGGUAGCUGGUCUGAGAGUGAUCAGCCACAUUGGGACUGAGACACGGCCCAAACUCCUACGGGAGGCAGCAGUGGGAUAUUGGACAAUGGGCGCAAGCCUGAUCCAGCCAUGCCGCGUGAGUGAUGAAGGCCUUGGUUGUAAAGCUCUUUCGCUAGGGACGAUAAUGACGGUACCUAGACAAGAAGCCCCGGAACUUCGUGCCAGCAGCCGCGGUAAUACGAAGGGGGCUAGCGUUGUUCGGAAUUACUGCGUAAAGCGCGUGUAGGCGGGCUUUUAAGUCAGGGGUGAAAUGCCGAGGCUCAACCUCAACUGCCUUUGAUACUGGAAGUCUUGAGUCCGGGAGAGGUGAGUGGAACUGCGAGUGUAGGUGAAAUUCGUAGAUAUUCGCAAGAACACCAGUGGCGAAGGCGGCUCACUGGCCCGACUGACGCUGAGACGCGAAAGCGUGGGGAGCAAACAGGAUUAGAUACCCUGGUAGUCCGCUGUAAACGAUGGAUGCUAGCCGUUGGGGAGCUUGCUCUUCAGUGGCGCAGCUAACG